UUCCUAUGCACAUACUUCUUUGAGAUUUAACUUUAAAGAGGCAUAAGGCAUGGGAAAAU
ensembl:miRNA